UGGUUUCCACCACCAUCACCAUGUGUUUGAGUUUCAGCCCUUGGAUCGUGCCUAAACGUUAUAAUCGUGGCCAUCAAUUGUGAUUACUUGAUUUAAUGACAUGUGUUGCGCGCUUGACUUAGGUCUACCUUGCAUCCACGCCUCUGAGCCCUUGAUGCCUUGCCACGUCAAUUAAUGAAAUGAUCUGAUGGCUGGAUUUUUCUAUUUUUUUAUUUUCUUUUAAUUUCAGUUAAUUCCUUUUAUUUUCAAAAAU
rnacentral:lncRNA from 1 species